rnacentral:rRNA from 1 species
UGCGCAGGUGGGUUUGUAAGUCAGUGGUGAAAUGCUGCCGCUUAACGGUAGAAUAGCCAUUGAUACUGCAAAUCUUGAGUAUGGUUGAGGUAGGCGGAAUGUGUCGUGUAGCGGUGAAAUGCAUAGAUGUGACACAGAACGCCGAUUGCGAAGGCAGCUUACUAAGCCAUUACUGACGCUGAGGCACGAAAGCGUGGGGAGCGAACAGGAUUAGAUACCCUGGUAGUCC